AUGGCUGCCUAUUCUGGGCCCACUACUGACCUUGACAUCUUUUGCAAUGCUGAAAACAUGGUUCUUUGUGAUGGCUGUGAUAGGGGUCAUCAUACCUGCUGUGUUUGACCAAAGCUCAAGACUGUGCCUGAAGGAGAUUGGUGGUGUCCAGAAUGUCGACCAAAGCGACAUUCCAGAAGACUCUCUUCUAGACAGAGACCAUCCUUGGAAAGUGAUGAAGAUGUGGAAGACAGUAUGGGAGGUGAGGAUGAUAAAGUUGAUGGUGAUGAAGAAGAGGGUCAAAGUGAGGAGGAAGAGUAUGAGACAGAACAAGGUGAAGAUUACUAUCAAAAAGAUGAAGAAGUCAGCAUACCCAAACGAGGAAGACCACAAGUUAGACUGCCAGUUAAAACAAGACGGAGACUUAGCUCUUGUUUCUCUAGUCGUGGCCAGCGACAAGAACCUGGAAGAUACCCUUCAAGGAGUCAGCAGAGUACACCCAAAACAACUGUUUCUUCUAAAACUAGUAGAAGCCUAAGAAAGAUAAACUCUGCUCCUCCUACAGAAACGAAAUCUGUAAGAAUUGCCAGUCGUUCUACUCGUCACAGCCAUGACCCGCUGCAAGCAGAUAUAUUUGUGGAAUUACUUAGUCCUUGUAGAAGAUGCAGAGGCAGGAAAAGUGCUAAUAAUACACCAGAAAAUAGCCCCAACUUCCAUAACUUCAGAGUCAUUUCCACAAAGUCAAGUGAACAGUCAAGAUCUUUAAAUGUUGCUUCAAAACUUUCUCUCCAAGAGAGUGAAUCCAAAAAAAGAUGCAGAAAAAGACAAUCUCCAGAGUCAUCACCUACGACACUGAGUCAAAGGAGUUCUGGCUGACAGCGAGGAGUUCAUGAGUUGUCUGCUUUUGAACAACUUGUCGUAGAAUUGGUACAACAUGAUGACAGGUGGCCUUUUUUGAAACUUGUUUCUAAAAUCCAGGUCCCAGACUACUAUGACACCAUCAAAAAGCUCAUUGCCUUAAAUAUAAUUGGUGAAAAAGUGAAUAAACAUUAAUAUAAAUUAGCAUCUGAGUUUAUUGAUAUUGAGUUAAUGUUUUCAAACUGCUUUGAAUACAACCCUCGUAACAUAAGUGAAGCAAAAGCUGGAACUAGGCUUCAAAUGUUUUUUCAUAUUCAGGCUCAAAAGCUUGGACUCCACGUCACACCCAGUAAUGUGGACCAAGUUAGCACACCACCAGCUACGAAAAAGUCACAAACCUGACUUUGUCCUUCUAAAGGAUGUAUUUGAGGAAAGACAAAUUGUUCAUGAAAAUGGAACAUUAAAUCAUUGUCUAAAGCAGAUAUAUAUGUAUAAAGCAAUAACAACUGAUUGGCCACAUGAAAGUGUGGCCUGCACUGUAUUCUCAAUUUUAAUAUUAAGCUCUCAGGAGAAUGUAGGAAAGAUGUCCUUUACUGCAGUUUUGCUCAGUAGCUAAUAAGUUUGAUAGAUAUAUUGGAUACAGUACUGGUUUACAGAGGUUUUUGUUCAUUUUUGAGAUCAUUCGUGUGUCCAGAGAUCUUGUAAAAUAUUUUUUCACCUAUGAUUUGUUAUUGAUUAUUUUUUUUAAGUUGUGGUAUUAAGGGAGAGUUAUCUACAUGGGUGAUUCUUCUGCUACAGCACAGUUUAGAAAAAUGUGUUUAUGCCUUCAUUGUUUAAUGAGUAGAUUCUUUCAACAUUACACAUGAAUGAAUCCAAUCUUAUAUCCUUGAAGUGCUGUACCAGUGCUGGCUGGAGGUAUUACGUCUGAGUUUAUUAACUAGAUAUUUAUUUAGUAUUGAAAGUAGCUUGUGAAUUUGUUUUGUAUUUAUAAAAUUUACACCUGAAAAAUGCUCCUUAAUGUUUUAAACUUUUUACUAUGUUUUUAUUUCUCUAACUUCCUUAAUGAGCAAUCAAAAAAAAGUAACACCCUCCCUUUUUCCUGACAGUUCCUUCAAUUUUACAGAACUGUAUUAUAAGUUUCUAUGUACAAGUUUUUAACUGUACAAAUAAAAUAAUAUUUUUUCAA